AGAGUUUGAUCAUGGCUCAGAUUGAACGCUGGCGGAAUGCUUUACACAUGCAAGUCGAACGAUGAACCUUAGCUUGCUAAGGGGAUUAGUGGCGAACGGGUGAGUAAUAUAUCGGAACGUGCCUUGUAAUGGGGGAUAACUAGUCGAAAGAUUAGCUAAUACCGCAUACGCCCUGAGGGGGAAAGUAGGGGAUCUUCGGACCUUACGUUAUAAGAGCGGCCGAUAUCUGAUUAGCUAGUUGGUGGGGUAAUGGCCUACCAAGGCUUCGAUCAGUAGCUGGUCUGAGAGGACGACCAGCCACACUGGAACUGAGACACGGUCCAGACUCCUACGGGAGGCAGCAGUGGGGAAUUUUGGACAAUGGGCGCAAGCCUGAUCCAGCCAUUCCGCGUGAGUGAAGAAGGCCUUCGGGUUGUAAAGCUCUUUCGCAAGGGAAGAAAACUUACACAAUAACACUGUGUGAGGCUGACGGUACCUUGAUAAGAAGCACCGGCUAACUACGUGCCAGCAGCCGCGGUAAUACGUAGGGUGCGAGCGUUAAUCGGAAUUACUGGGCGUAAAGCGUGCGCAGGCGGUUUGGCAAGUCAGAUGUGAAAUCCCCGAGCUCAACUUGGGAACUGCGUUUGAAACUGCCAGACUAGAAUAUGUCAGAGGGGGGUAGAAUUCCACGUGUAGCAGUGAAAUGCGUAGAGAUGUGGAGGAAUACCAAUGGCGAAGGCAGCCCCCUGUGAUAAUAUUGACGCUCAUGCACGAAAGCGUGGGGAGCAAACAGGAUUAGAUACCCUGGUAGUCCACGCCCUAAACGAUGUCUACUAGUUGUUGGUGGAGUAAAAUCCAUGAGUAACGCAGCUAACGCGUGAAGUAGACCGCCUGGGGAGUACGGUCGCAAGAUUAAAACUCAAAGGAAUUGACGGGGCCCGCACAAGCGGUGGAUUAUGUGGAUUAUUCGAUGCACGCGAAAACUUACUGGUCUUGACAUGCACUAACGAAGCAGAGAUGCAUUAGUGCCGUAAGGAAAGUGGAAAACAGUGCUGCAUGC
rnacentral:rRNA from 1 species